rnacentral:rRNA from 1 species
GAUGAACGCUGGCGGUAUGCUUAACACAUGCAAGUCGAACGGUCUUUUAGGAGACAGUGGCGGACGGGUGAGUAACGCGUAAGAAUCUACCCUCAGGUCGGGGACAACCACUGGAAACGGUGGCUAAUACCGGAUGUGCCGAGAGGUGAAAGGCUUGCUGCCUGGGGAAGAGCUUGCGUCUGAUUAGCUAGUUGGUAGUGUAAGAGACUACCAAGGCGACGAUCAGUAGCUGGUCUGAGAGGAUGAUCAGCCACACUGGGACUGAGACACGGCCCAGACUCCUACGGGAGGCAGCAGUGGGGAAUUUUCCGCAAUGGGCGAAAGCCUGACGGAGCAAUACCGCGUGAGGGAGGAAGGCUCUUGGGGUUGUAAAACCUCUUUUCUCAGGGAGAAAAAAUGACGGUACCUGAGGAAUAAGCAUCGGCUAACUCCGUGCCAGCAGCCGCGGUAAU